rnacentral:rRNA from 1 species
UACGUAGGUGGCGAGCGUUAUCCGGAUUCAUUGGGCGUAAAGCGCGCGUAGGCGGCCGCCUAAGCGGAACCUCUAACCCCGGGGCUCAACCUCGGGCCGGGUUCCGGACUGGGCGGCUCGAGUGCGGUAGAGGAGAGCGGAAUUCCCGGUGUAGCGGUGGAAUGCGCAGAUAUCGGGAAGAACACCGGUGGCGAAGGCGGCCUUCUGGGCCAUCACUGACGCUGAGGCGCGAAAGCUAGGGGAGCAAAUAGG